rnacentral:rRNA from 1 species
CUGCCCGGUAGUGGGGGAUAACCUGGGGAAACCCAGGCUAAUACCGCAUACGUCCUACGGGAGAAAGCAGGGGCUCUUCGGACCUUGCGCUAUCGGAUGAGCCUAUGUCGGAUUAGCUGGUUGGUGAGGUAAUGGCUCACCAAGGCGACGAUCCGUAGCUGGUCUGAGAGGAUGAUCAGCCACACUGGGACUGAGACACGGCCCAGACUCCUACGGGAGGCAGCAGUGGGGAAUAUUGGACAAUGGGCGCAAGCCUGAUCCAGCCAUGCCGCGUGUGUGAAGAAGGCCCUCGGGUUGUAAAGCACUUUCAGCGAGGAAGAAGGCUUGGCGGCUAAUACCCGUCAAGAAGGACAUCACUCGCAGAAGAAGCACCGGCUAACUCCGUGCCAGCAGCCGCGGUAAUACGGAGGGUGCGAGCGUUAAUCGGAAUUACUGGGCGUAAAGCGCGCGUAGGUGGUUUGGCACGCCGGUUGUGAAAGCCCCGGGCUCAACCUGGGAACGGCAUCCGGAACGGCCAGACUAGAGUGCAGGAGAGGAAGGUAGAAUUCCCGGUGUAGCGGUGAAAUGCGUAGAGAUCGGGAGGAAUACCAGUGGCGAAGGCGGCCUUCUGGCCUGACACUGACACUGAGGUGCGAAAGCGUGGGUAGCAAACAGGAUUAGAUACCCUGGUAGUCCACGCCGUAAACGAUGUCGACUAGCCGUUGGGACCUUUAAGACUUAGUGGCGCAGUUAACGCGAUAAGUCGACCGCCUGGGGAGUACGGCCGCAAGGUUAAAACUCAAAUGAAUUGACGGGGGCCCGCACAAGCGGUGGAGCAUGUGGUUUAAUUCGAUGC